rnacentral:rRNA from 1 species
AUGUCGAGCGGUGAAUGGUAGCUUGCUACCUAACCUAGCGGCGGACGGGUGAGUAAUGCUUAGGAAUCUGCCUAUUAGUGGGGGACAACGUUUCGAAAGUGAACGCUAAUACCGCAUACGUCCUACGGGAGAAAGCAGGGGAUCAUUUGACCUUGUGCUAAUAGAUGAGCCUAAGUCGGAUUAGCUAGUUGGUGGGGUAAAGUGCCUACCAAGGCGACGAUCUGUAGCGGGUCUGAGAGGAUGAUCCUGCACACUGGGACUGAGACACGGCCCAGACUCCUACGGGAGGCACGCAGUGGGGAAUAUUGGACAAUGGGCGCAAGCCUGAUCCAGGCCAUGCCGCGUGUGUGAAGAAGGCCUUAUGGUUGUAAAGCACUUUAAGCGAGGAGGAGGAGCUUCACGGUUAAUACCCUGGAUGCUUGGACGUUACUCGCAGAAUAAGCACCGGCUAACUCUGUGCCAGCAGCCGCGGUAAUACAGAGGGUGCAAGCGUUAAUCGGAUUUACUGGGCGUAAAGCGUGCGUAGGCGGCUAAUUA